UGGGGAAUUUUGGACAAUGGGCGAAAGCCUGAUCCAGCAAUGCCGCGUGUGUGAAGAAGGCCUUCGGGUUGUAAAGCACUUUUGUCCGGAAAGAAAUCCUUGGCUCUAAUACAGUCGGGGGAUGACGGUACCGGAAGAAUAAGCACCGGCUAACUACGUGCCAGCAGCCGCGGUAAUACGUAGGGUGCAAGCGUUAAUCGGAAUUACUGGGCGUAAAGCGUGCGCAGGCGGUUUGCUAAGACCGAUGUGAAAUCCCGGGCUCAACCUGGGACUGCAUUGGUGACUGGCAGGCUAGAGUAUGGCAGAGGGGGGUAGAAUUCCACGUGUAGCAGUGAAAUGCGUAGAGAUGUGGAGGAAUACCGAUGGCGAAGGCAGCCCCCUGGGCAAGUACUGACGCUCAUGCACGAAAGCGUGGGGGAGCAAACAGGAUUAGAUACCCUGGUAGUCCACGCCCUAAACGAUGUCAACUAGUUGUUGGGGAUUCAUUUCCUUAGUAACGUAGCUAACGCGUGAAGUUGACCGCCUGGGGAGUACGGUCGCAAGAUUAAAACUCAAAUGAAUUGACGGGGUCAU
rnacentral:rRNA from 1 species